rnacentral:rRNA from 1 species
GAUGAACGCUGGCGGCGUGCCUAAUACAUGCAAGUCGAGCGAACAGACGAGGAGCUUGCUCCUCUGACGUUAGCGGCGGACGGGUGGGUAACACGUGGAUAACCUACCUAUAAGACUGGGAUAACUUCGGGAAACCGGAGCUAAUACCGGAUAACAUGUUGAACCGCAUGGUUCAACAGUGAAAGACGGUCUUGCUGUCACUUAUAGAUGGAUCCGCGCCGCAUUAGCUAGUUGGUAAGGUAACGGCUUACCAAGGCAACGAUGCGUAGCCGACCUGAGAGGGUGAUCGGCCACACUGGAACUGAGACACGGUCCAGACUCCUACGGGAGGCAGCAGUAGGGAAUCUUCCGCAAUGGGCGAAAGCCUGACGGAGCAACGCCGCGUGAGUGAAGAAGGUCUUCGGAUCGUAAAACUCUGUUAUUAGGGAAGAACAAAUGUGUAAGUAACUAUGCACGUCUUGACGGUACCUAAUCAGAAAGCCACGGCUAACUACGUG